rnacentral:rRNA from 1 species
AAUGGGCGCAAGCCUGAUCCAGCCAUGCCGCGUGAGUGAUGAAGGCCCUAGGGUCGUAAAGCUCUUUCGCCUGUGAAGAUAAUGACGGUAGCAGGUAAAGAAACCCCGGCUAACUCCGUGCCAGCAGCCGCGGUAAUACGGAGGGGGUUAGCGUUGUUCGGAAUUACUGGGCGUAAAGCGCGCGUAGGCGGAUUAGUCAGUCAGAGGUGAAAUCCCAGGGCUCAACCCUGGAACUGCCUUUGAUACUGCUAGUCUUGAGUUCGAGAGAGGUAAGUGGAAUUCCGAGUGUAGAGGUGAAAUUCGUAGAUAUUCGGAGGAACACCAGUGGCGAAGGCGGCUUACUAGCUCGAUACUGACGCUGAGGUGCGAAAGUGUGGGGAGCAAACAGGAUU